GAUGAACGCUGGCGGCGUGCCUAAUACAUGCAAGUCGAGCGAACAGAUGAGGAGCUUGCUCCUCUGACGUUAGCGGCGGACGGGUGAGUAACACGUGGAUAACCUACCUAUAAGACUGGGAUAACUGCGGGAAACCGGAGCUAAUACCGGAUAAUAUAUUGAACCGCAUGGUUCAAUAGUGAAAGACGGUUUUGCUGUCACUUAUAGAUGGAUCCGCGCCGCAUUAGCUAGUUGGUAAGGUAACGGCUUACCAAGGCACCGAUGCGUAGCCGACCUGAGAGGGUGAUCGGCGACACUGGAACUGAGACACGGUCCAGACUCCUACGGGAGGCAGCAGUAGGGAAUCGUACGCAAUGGGCGAAAGCCUGACGGAGCAACGCCGCGUGAGUGAUGAAGGUCUUCGGAUCGUAAAACUCUGUUAUUAGGGAAGAACAAAUGUGUAAGUAAAUAUGCACGUCUUGACGGUACCUAAUCAGGAAGCCACGGCUAACUACGUG
rnacentral:rRNA from 1 species